CUCCUGGGAAGUCCUCGUGUUGCACCCCUCUCUUCUUCUUCGCAUUUUUUUUUUUCUCGUUGGGCUUAUCGUUUACGUCGGUCCAGCACGCUCGCUUUGUAGGCUUAGCCCGCCCCAGGCCAAAAACACGAGCCGCAGAUCUCGUUUUGGGUGCUAAAGCGUCGCGGCGACGUCGAAAUCGGCGGAAGCCCCUCGGGUUGCGCCUCUCCGGCGUUAAGGUGCACCGUUGCGUUCGGAUCCUUUUAUAAGAAUUAAACGCGCUUAUGCUGAUGGGUGCGAUCAUACCAACACUAAUGCACCGGA
rnacentral:rRNA from 1 species